GACUCUUUUUUGCGCGUCUCGAGAGGAUGUGACGCGUGUAAUUGGCUCUAAUUGGUUUACCAAUUGCCGCGGCCAAUUGGUCGAUGGAAAGCCAGUCUAUUAGAUCCCGAGCAUCGGAACUGUUUGCGCAAACAAUGGAUCGCGCAAACGAAAGUAAAGCGAAACGCCUCUCGCAGUAAAGACCUUCGUUCUACAGGUUCGACUCUGAGCCAUUGCACGCGAAAAAGCCAUUUAUCGAGAAGCAACUACUUUGGAUUUCCCGAUUCAAUCUUUUAUACGAACGAUUAUUUUGUUAAAUGACGAAUAUGUGAAAAAUUCAAGGAAAUAAGAUAUUCCUAAUAAAAUUUUAAUCCUGUUGUAAUAUUAUUGCGGAAUGAAGUUUUACUAUUUAUUUUUACGAUUCCAUGUGAGACAUUUUGCCAAGGCACACGAUCGAUACACUGAUCCUCGUGGGAAUCCGUGAACGGUAGCAUAAAAGUAGCGGAUAUUUAGAUUGGGAUAUCUAAUCUCUCUUCGAACCGACUCGACGGAACUAUAACGGUUGACCUCGGAGCGCCUAGCAACAAGUCGCGUAUGGGCAAUGUCCUCUCGAGAGAUGUGAUCCUUAUUUAUCCGGAACGUCGAGGUGCUCCACCUCGCGAAGAGUAUACUGCCCGGAGUGAGCAGACGAUCACUAAAAGAAGAACGUUAACGACUCGUCGAGAGGACCAACUUCAGACACGACUAAUGAGCCAAGAAGGAAUCUUUGAGAGGGAAUUUUAAGUAUAUUCAGGAUAUUAACUCGUAUUAUCAUUUUUUCAAACAAUUUCAUAUUGUUGUUAUUAUAUACAGAGUGCCUACAAAGUCUCUACUUCAUAUAAUUGGUUCAAAAUUAUGAAAAACAAAAUACGUAAGAGUAUUUUACCUUUCAAUCGUUUUCAAAGAAUUGAAGUCUCUUGUAAUGAUCAAAUACGUCAUCGGUUUUCUUAAUUUCAUUGAAAACAAAUGAUAUGAUCAUAUUAACAAAACUUGUAUGAUUGAGUAUUUCUGAUGAAGCCAAGUAGAUUUUUUGGUUAUCACAAUAGGAUUCUUAUUAUAAUCAGAACGUCUGAUAGAUUUUUUUACUAUAAUCUGGUAAUUCCUACAGGAUUUCUGAUUCGUUCGUUUUUAAUCAGGCGUAUUGAUUGAAUCUAUCAGAUUUCUAAAUGAUGCAACAAGACUUUUUUCCCAGUGUUAAAACCGUUUUCCAAAAA
rnacentral:lncRNA from 13 species